UUAGUAAUUUGAGUUCUCUCUCUUCUUCUCUUCGCUAGCAUGGCGAAAAUGGGCCCUGUACCCAAAGGUGAGGAGCUGUUCCACAGCCUGCAGCCCCUGCUGAUCUCUGUGCUUAGUGACAGCUCAAAUAGCUGAGCUCCACUGUGUUUCCACUCUCGGCUUGGGUUGCUAUGUGGCUGCUGCUGAUGUCCAGGAGGACAUCGUUUAUGAGGACAUGGAGACACUCUGUGGUACCCUGCGCACUCUGGCCACUGACAGCAACAAGUACCAUGCUAAGGCCAACGCUCUACUUUCCGUGCUGUGCUGAACUUUGUUGAGGGCAGUGAAUGCCAGGAAGAGACAAUCCGCUUUGGACUGAAGUGCUCUAUGUGGACAGCUGGGCUCAGCACCAGAUCUAUGCUGCCUUCAAGGAUGUACUGGGUUCCGGCAUGCACCACCACCUUCAGAACAAUGAGCUUCUUCGUGACUUCUUUGGCCUGGGCCCAGUGCUGGUGCUGGAUGACACUUCCCUGAAGGCCUGCAAAAUUUCAUGCUUUGAGAAGCACCUGUACAAUGCUGCUACCUUCAAAGGCCUGACCAAGGCUCGCAGCCGUGUAAGGGACAAGUGGGCAGACACCCUGUGAGGCGGACCAGCUGAAGAGAAGUCUAUCCACAUUGUUGCCCAUAUUUUUACAGAAGAGAGUGCAAGAACUGGUCUCUGCCAGUGAUUGUCACUUUAUUUUUUUAAUGGCAAAACCAAAAACAGAUAUAGGACAGAUGAGUGAAGGGUCAGGACUUUUGGGACCCUGGCCUUUGUCCCCGCACUCAACUCUAUGGCCUCUUCCUGCCCUUUCUCAGGUGUGAACAGUCUCAAUCAAGUUAAGUCUCAAUCAAGUCAGAACCAAUGCUGGAACCAUCUUCUGGGGUCAUGGACAGUGAACUGAAGGAGACAUUCCAGUGUGGUGUGCAGCUUAUAAGGAAGAGGGAGAGAUGAUGGAUGAAACACCUGCUCAGUGGAGUGAGAAAAUAGAUCUACUGAGGCUCCUGUGUGUGCAAGGUUCCCAGCUAGUGGGGGAUAUACUGCUCAACCGGUUCUUGUGCCUGCUUCAACUACAGAGGAGGCGAGAAGGAGAAGAAAUGAUGGAG